ensembl:lncRNA
GUUGGGGAACGCUGUCAGCAUGGCCCUUUAAACAGAGGGGUUGGGGAACGCUGUCAGCAUGGCCCUUUAAACAGAGGGGUUGGGGAACGCUGUCAGCAUGGCCCUUUAAACAGAGGUGUUGGGGAACGCUGUCAGCAUGGCCCUUUAAACAGAGGUGUUGGGGAACGCUGUCAGCAUGGCCCUUUAAACAGAGGUGUUGGGGAACGCUGUCAGCAUGGCCCUUUAAACAGAGGGGUUGGGGAACGCUGUCAGCAUGGCCCUUUAAACAGAGGGGUUGGGGAACGCUGUCAGCAUGGCCCUUUAAACAGAGAGGUUGGGG